rnacentral:rRNA from 1 species
UACGUAGGGUGCGAGCGUUAAUCGGAAUUACUGGGCGUAAAGCGUGCGCAGGCGGUCUGUUAAGACCGAUGUGAAAUCCCCGGGCUUAACCUGGGAACUGCAUUGGUGACUGGCAGGCUUUGAGUGUGGCAGAGGGAGGUAGAAUUCCACGUGUAGCAGUGAAAUGCGUAGAGAUGUGGAGGAAUACCGAUGGCGAAGGCAGCCUCCUGGGCCGAUACUGACGCUGAGGAGCGAAAGCGUGGGGAGCGAACAGG